AAUAUACUCCCUCUGUCUGGAAAUACUUGUCUUACAAAUGGUUGUAUCUAGACUUGUUUUAGUUAUACAUACAUCCAUUUCAUCCAUUUCCAGGACAAGUAUUUCCGGACGGAGGGAGUAUGUG
rfam:Triticum aestivum genome assembly, contig: Triticum_aestivum_CS42_TGACv1_scaffold_272396_3DS